GAUGAACGCUGGCGGCGUGCCUAAUACUUGCAAGUCGAGCGAACAGACGAGGAGCUUGCUCCUCUGACGUUAGCGGCGGACGGGUGAGUAACACGUGGAUAACCUACCUAUAAGACUGGGAUAACUUCGGGAAACCGGAGCUAAUACCGGAUAAUAUAUUGAACCGCAUGGUUCAAUAGUGAAAGACGGUUUUGCUGUCACUUAUAGAUGGAUCCGCGCCGCAUUAGCUAGUUGGUAAGGUAACGGCUUACCAAGGCAACGAUGCGUAGCCGACCUGAGAGGGUGAUCGGCCACACUGGAACUGAGACACGGUCCAGACACCUACGGGAGGCAGCAGUAGGGAAUCUUCCGCAAAGGGCGAAAGCUUGACGGAGCAACGCCGCGUGAGUGAUGAAGGUCUUCGGAUCGUAAAACUCUGUUAUUAGGGAAGAACAAAUGUGUAAGUAACUAUGCACGUCUUGACGGUACCUAAUCAGAAAGCCACGGCUAACUACGUG
rnacentral:rRNA from 1 species